UACGUAGGGGGCGAGCGUUGUCCGGAUUUAUUGGGCGUAAAGCGCCCGCAGGCGGUGCGCCAAGUGUGGGGGUGACAGCGACCGGCUUAACCGGCGAGUGUCCUACAGACUGGCGCACUUGAGGGCCACAGAGGAACACAGAAAUUCCGGGUGGAGUGGGUGAAAUGCGUAGAUAUCCGGAGGAAUACCAAAGGCGAAGGCAGUGUUCUGGGUGGUACCUGACGCUCAGGGGCGAAAGCUAGGGGAGCGAACGGGG
rnacentral:rRNA from 1 species